AGAUUUAUCGGUUAAAGAUGGGCAUGCGUCUGAUUAGUUUGUUGGUGAGGUAACGGCUCACCAAGGCCACGAUCAGUAGGGGUUCUGAGAGGAUGAUCCCCCACAUUGGUACUGAGACACGGACCAGACUUCUACGGAAGGCAGCAGUAAGGAAUAUUGGGCAAUGGGCGAAAGCCUGACCCAGCCAUGCCGCGUGCAGGAUUGAAGACCUUAUGGGUUGUAAACUGCUUUUAUAUAGGAAGAAAAAACUCUUGCGAGAGUAACUGACGGUACUAUAUGAAUAAGGACCGGCUAACUCCGUGCCAGCAGCCGCGGUAAUACGGAGGGUUCAAGCGUUAUCCGGAUUUAUUGGGUUUAAAGAGUGCGUAGGUGGUUUAUUAAGUCAGUGGUGAAAUCCUACAGCUCAACUGUAGAACUGCCAUUGAUACUGGUAAACUUGAGUUUGGCUGAGGUAAGCGGAAUUUAUGAUGUAGCGGUGAAAUGCAUAGAUAUCAUAAGGAACACCAAUAGCGUAGGCAGCUUACUAGACCAAUACUGACACUGAGGCACGAAAGCGUGGGUAGCGAACAGGAUUAGAUACCCUGGUAGUCCACGCCGUAAACGAUGCUCACUCGAUGUUAGCGAUAUACUGUUAGCGUCCAAGCUAAAGCGUUAAGUGAGCCACCUGGGUAGUACGCCGGCAACGGUGAAACUCAAAGGAAUUGACGGGGGUCCGCACAAGCGGUGGAGCAUGUGGUUUAAUUCGAUAAUACGCGAGGAACCUUACCUAGGCUAGAAUGCGAGUGACAUCCAGAGAGAUCUGGAGUUCUUCGGACACAAAGCAAGGUGCUGCAUGGUUGUCGUCAGCUCGUGCCGUGAGGUGUUGG
rnacentral:rRNA from 1 species